rnacentral:rRNA from 1 species
GAUGAACGCUGGCGGCGUGCCUAACACAUGCAAGUCGAGCGAGAUAAAUGUGAGUGGAGACUUCGGUCAAAGCGAUCAUUUUGAAAGCGGCGGACGGGUGAGUAACGCGUGAGCAAUCUGCCCCAUACAAAGGGAUACCCACUGGACACGGUGAUUAAUACCUUAUAAGACCACGAAGUCGCCUGGCUUAGUGGCCAAAGAUUUAUCGGUAUGGGAUGAGCUCGCGUCUGAUUAGCUAGUUGGUGAGGUAAUGGCUCACCAAGGCGACGAUCAGUAGCCGACCUGAGAGGGUGAACGGCCACACUGGAACUGAGACACGGUCCAGACUCCUACGGGAGGCAGCAGUGGGGAAUAUUGCACAAUGGGCGCAGGCCUGAUGCAGCAACGCCGCGUGAAUGAUGAAGGCCUUCGGGUCGUAAAGUUCUGUCCUAAGGGAAGAAUACAGUGACGGUACCUUAGGAGGAAGCCCCGGCUAACUACGUGCCAGCAGCCGCGGUAA